UUCUAUCACCAGAGCUUGGACUUUGUAUUGUUGUUUAUGCAAUCUUCCAGCAGGGAGAUCUCCGCAGGGCUGGGCUCAUUUGAAAUUCCAAGGCCCUCUAUUGCUCCACAGAUUUGGCUGAGCAGCGCCUGAUCAUUUGGGAUGUGAUGGAGCGUAAGCUUCCGUAGAGUUGUUCCAGCCUUGAAGAAGGCAGGGGUCAAGUAUUCAUUCUCAUCUAGGGACAGCUCCCAGAUCUUGCAGGCUGGAUCUUGCAGCAGCUUCUCCAGGUGGGGCGAGCAAUCGCAUUGUUUAAGCUCCAGACGUUCUAAAUACUUUGGAAGUGUUGAUCCUGCUAAAGCAUUUAAUUUUUUGUCGUCACGCAUAGGUAGAAAAAGCGUCUUGAGCUUGAUUGGCAUCCCCUUGUGCUUGGCAGCAGCAAUAGCUUCAUCCAAGCUGCGAAUCACUUCCUCGCCAAAAACUAUUAGAUCAAUUGCAAGGCUGCUUAGCUUGGACACAGCUGCUUCUAGAAACCCCUCCACUUUGUGGUAGCCCUCCCUCCACAGGAAUACGUGCUCCAGAGUGUUGUCCUCCUGCAGCAGCAGCUCGAGCAAGCCUUUGAAGUCUUCUGAAUGGAUGUUUGCUGUUCUGUAUCUCUGUUCCUUCAGCUCCCUCACACUCGACACCCCAUGGCUCCGCAUCUCAGCGAAAAUGCUUCCCAAAUCCUUGUAAUCAUCUAUCCGGGCCUGCUUUGGCUUCCCCAUAACUUCGAUUCAGGCGCGGUCGCUUUGUUUGGAUGGUUUCGAGCUCAUCCACAGCGGGCUAGACAGCUUUUUGGUGGAGGGAUUUGUUUAGAGUUUUUUUGCGGUACGGGGGACUGGCUUUCAUGGCAGCGACUUGGGAGGUACAUUUCUUGGAAGAGCUUGCUUGGAUUUGGAUCUAACGCGUCAAUGUUAUUGACUUGAUUCUCUCGUGGUUUUCUUGCUUUUUUUUUUGGUUUAGAACAUCCGCGACAGAGAACGGGGAUACGCAAAACAAAGAAGCAAAGAAAAGCGAGUAUAUUCGUUUCACGUGAAAUCAUCGAGUGCCGUAGAGAAACGAAAAGAUCUUUCUGGAAAUUCUUUAGACCAUAUCCAUUAAAGGGCUUUUUUUUAUAUUGCUCGAGGUUUAGAGGGUUUCUAGGGUUUAGCGAUGGCGAUCUCUCGAUAGAGUGAGCGAUCGCGGCACGGGGAAGAGGUUCGUUCUUCCAUUUUAACACGAACCCGACAGAAGAAAACGUUUUAAGUACCUUCAAAUCCUCGUCGAGCUUUCUUUCCUCCUUUCAUAAAGAAUCAUAAAAUGCAUAACAUAAAAUGCAAUAAUACCAACAAAGGGUAAAUAAUUUUACUUCUCUGUGGUUUAGGGCUCGUGGCUCUGGAGUGGAGCGAAUGGCGCUCGCCGGUGAGCUCCAAAUGCACUAGCUCUCAUGCUCCCGCCCAAGCGAGCUGAUGGAGUCAGGGCCUACAUUGCCACGGAUUCCAGGGACGUAGAGGGCGACGAUGGGGAAGUACUCUCCCAUUGUUUGGGACCUUGACGACGGCAGGAAAUCUGAUGCGGCGUCGCCCUUGUCUAGAUUCUCCGAGGCGGCUGCUGCUGGAGAGGAUGCCUUCUUGGACUCGAUCGACGCAGGCAGGAGCUCACCGCGGAUAUUGCCACAGCGCAAGGAUACGAAUCAAAGUGGUCGUCAGCAAAGUAUCGGUAAGGAACUUCUUAUAGUUAAUUGACACGAGGCACAUUCUUAUUGACGGUACGAUUCUUUGUGUCACAUAAGCAAUAAUACAGGUUCUCCAAAACUGUAUAGACCAUGGAAUAACUAAUCUCGAUCCAACGGUCGGCAACGGUGCGAUCAACUUAACUGGCGCGUGAACGAUGAGCAUACACCAAAUUACACAGCAAUCAAGAUAAUGUUAUACUGGAGAUUGGCAAACCUGCUAGAAGGUAUAGUCGUUUCAAAUAGGUUGGAGAAUAACCUAUGCCUGGGAAACAACGAUGCUUGACAAAUCUGGAUUCAUUUGAUGGCCUGGGAUUGCACUGUCCUCAAAUUUGGCCCGAUGAAAAGCCAAACUGGUCAAAGAGUGAUAUCUAAAAGCGCAUGGAGCGUGAGGGAGGGAGCGAGAAGACCCCAAACAAACUUGCAAAUUUAUUUGCUUCUUGUCUGAGCCAGCCAAAACAAGAUAGAAUAGAUAGGAUAGAUAGAUAAAAAGUAGUCAGAAAUUUAGUAAAGAAGAAAUCUUAG
rnacentral:lncRNA from 1 species